UACAGAGGGGGCAAGCGUUAUUCGGAAUUAUUGGGCGUAAAGGGCGCGUAGGCGGCAAUUCAAGUCAGCUGUGAAAUCUCCGGGCUUAACUCGGAACGGUCAGCUGAUACUGCUUUGCUAGAGUGCAGAAGGGGCAAUCGGAAUUCUUGGUGUAGCGGUGAAAUGCGUAGAUAUCAAGAGGAACACCUGAGGUGAAGACGGGUUGCUGGGCUGACACUGACGCUGAGUGCGCGAAAGCUAGGGUAGCAAACGGG
rnacentral:rRNA from 1 species